GACGAACGCUGGCGGCGUGCCUAAUACAUGCAAGUCGAACGCAGUUGCGAACGGGUGAGUAACGCGUGGGUGACUGCCUAUUAGAGGGGUGUAACUAUUGGAAACGAUCGCUAAUACCGCCUACUUGUAGAUGGAACUGCGUUGUAUUAGCUAGUAGGUAGGGUAAUGGCCUACCUAGGCGACGAUACAUAGCCGACCUGUGAGGGGGACCGGCCACACUGGGACUGAGACACGGCCCAGACUCCUACGGGAGGCAGCAGUAGGGAAUCUUCGGCAAUGGGGGGAACCCUGACCCAGCAACGCCGCGGGAGUGAAGAAGGUUUUCGGAUCGUAAAGCUCUGUUGUUAAGGAAGCGGUACUUAACCAGAAAGGGACGGCUAACUACGUGCCAGCAGCCGCGGUAAUUC
rnacentral:rRNA from 1 species